GAUCUAAACCAGGCCUUGAUCUAUGGUGGAACAUGCGGCACUAUACUGCAAGGAAGGUAAAAAUGCAAUUGGAACAGGCAGCACUAUACUGCAAAGAAGGUAAAAUGUGUGCAUGAACAAAGAGGAAAUGGGAUUUGGAAAUGGAAUUAAGAAAUACCAGAGUGUACAACUGAAUAUCUGUUCAUACAGACAACUAGGCUAAUGUACAAGCUACUAUUAAGCUAAUGGUAAACUGAACGCAGAUCCUAGGGAACCUACAUCAGCAGCCAGCAGCUAGCAAAUCA
rnacentral:lncRNA from 1 species